GUCAGAAAGACUAAAUUAGGUCAUAAUAAUGGCUGCUGCCAGUGUCUCAGUCCCUGGAGGGGUGGGCCCGGCUGCCUCCUGCCUCUCCAAGAUGUCCUUAAGCUUAGCCUUUCACUGUCUUUUGUGUGGAUUGUUGCAUCAUUACUAGCUCACCUUUCCCCAGUGUUCUGCAUCCUCCUUGGAUAUACUGCUUGGCUGUCUCCAUCCCAUAUUUGAGUGAUCCCCUGAAAGCCACGCUUGCUUUGCUCAGGACAGAUUUCUCAGCUUCUUUAGAUCUAGGCCUUUUACAAAGCUACCAAGUAAAAUGCAACUUAGAACUUAUGAGUCAGUUUGUGCCAGUUGCGGUCUUAAAG
rnacentral:lncRNA from 1 species